CAGUGGAGUAUGCACCAUUUCCAAGGUUCUUUUGUCCCAAGUGGAUGCGCCAAGUUCAGGAUCGCUCGCGCCAAGUGCUAGUAGCUUUGGCAUCUCGAGGCUAGCGGCUAGAUGGCGGGGUUAUGAAUUUGGAAAUUUCCAUCAGCCUCAGGCCAUGACUCUGGCUUCCCUGGUGAGUGCUGUUCAUGGUGAGAGGAGUGGGAAUCACUUCAUCGUAUAAGGUGAAAGGAAUGAUGAUUUUGAGUCAGCAUGAAUAUGGCCAAGAAAACGAGCUAACCCCAUCACCAUGGGCAUGGGCAUGGGCAUGGGCUAUUGGUAUGUUGGUGAAGGUUAAAUCAGCUCUUUUGCCAUCAUAAGCAGUAAUGUAUAUCCCCAUGGGUGGCCAAGCCAGGGUUGCACUGGAGAGACCCUGCGUAGAAUUGGAAUGAAGACCAACACCAGACUUGAGAUGACAUUGGGGGUUUUGGUUUCCACAAAACCCUCUUCCGAAUAAGCAACACACAAAUAAUGAUCAACUGAUUGAUAUGAGUAAGUGUAACGUUAUAUUACUGUUAUGUCCGUUUCGGUCGGUGUGUCACUGUCAGCUCUGAUAGAGAGCAAUGAUUGAGCUGAAGACAAGCCGGGUGAGGAUAGCAAAUGGAUUCUGAGUUUUUUGGGCGAUGGGUGGUAAUGAAAAACUGUUGCGAUAGUCUGUUGAAUCAGCGGUGG
rnacentral:sRNA from 1 species